rnacentral:rRNA from 1 species
GGCUCAUCGCAUCCUGGGGCUGUAGUCGGUCCCAAGGGUUGGGCUGUUCGCCCAUUAAAGCGGUACGCGAGCUGGGUUCAGAACGUCGUGAGACAGUUCGGUCCCUAUCCGUCGUGGGCGUUGGAAGUUUGAGAGGAGCUCUCCUUAGUACGAGAGGACCGGGAUGGACAUACCGCUGGUGCACCAGUUGUUCCGCCAGGAGCAUAGCUGGGUAGCUACGUGUGGAAGGGAUAAGUGCUGAAAGCAUCUAAGCAUGAAGCCCCCCUCUAGAUGAGACUUCC